rnacentral:lncRNA from 1 species
CACGUACAAAAUCACCACCUUCUUCCAUUUUUCAUUCUCCUGAUCCACAUAAUUUGGCUGUAACUGCACCAAUUUAGAACUACCUUACACAAAUGUGGCAACAUAAGCUAAGUUCAUACCUCGACCAGCAAGUUUAGCUCCAGCAAAUAAAUUCGUCCAUUGUUGCUUGUCCUGUGACUGCUGCAGAUCUAGAUUCCUCUUGGCUGUGGAGCCUCAUCAUCUUUUCGUUGAGCUGAUGUAGUUUUUACUUUGUCUCAAGCAACAGAAAUCACCCCUACGGAUCUAGUACUCUUCACACCAGAGAUCCCCAAAUCCAAUGAAACAGUACCCAAUGUAACAGUAGAAGAUCCCGCCUCUGGUGUAGCCGUCGCUUUCCUUUUGCCUUGUGAAUUCAUCAAAGCCGGAGAAGUACAUUUCUCAUCUCUCAUCGCCAUCCCUA